AGAAUCAACGCUGGCGGCGUGCCUCAGACAUGCAAGUCGAACGAUUAAAGCUCUCUUCGGAGAGUGUAUAGAGUGGCGCACGGGUGAGUAACACGUAAGUAAUCUACCCUCGAGUGGGGAAUAACGUCCGGAAACGGACGCUAAUACCGCAUAAUGCAGCGGCACCGCAAGGUGACAGUUGUUAAAGAUUUUAUCGCUUGAGGAGGAGCUUGCGGCAGAUUAGCUAGUUGGUAAGGUAAUGGCUUACCAAGGCUACGAUCUGUAACCGGUCUAAGAGGACGGUCGGUCACACUGACACUGAAUAACGGGUCAGACUCCGUACGGGAGGCGAGCAGUCGGAAUUUUGGGCAAGUGGGCGAAAGCCGUGACCAGCAACGCCGCGUGAAGGA
rnacentral:rRNA from 1 species